AUGUAACAUGCUCCAGUCUCCUGCAGGCAACCAGCACUCACUCAGCAUGAAAACCGUGCGGGCUCUGCUCAUCCUUGGGAUCCUUCUGUGUCACCUUGUCUGUGUGCAAGGUGUCGGGCGGUCACUACAGGACUGCUGUGUGCAUACAAGUGCCAAACGUAUACCAUUUGGCGCCAUUAUCGGAUAUGAGAUACAAUCAAAGGAUAAAGGAUGCCCCAUAGAAGCUGUGGUAUUUCAGACAAAUUCUAACCCAACCAGGGAUUUAUGUGCCCCACAAGGCAUACCAUGGGUUAAAAAGUGGAUAAAAAAACUGGACAAAGGUAAAAAAGAAAUGGAGAAGAAUGGGAAUAAACCAAAGAAAUCUACAAAACGUCAGCUGAAUUGAGCCAAGAUCUCGAUGCCUCCUUAUGUGUUUGCCAUGAAUGUCCAAGACAUGAAACAGCAGAGCCUUCCACAUCGCUUAUAUUAUCAAUGCAGAUAUGAAAAUUUUGAAACAAUGGAUCAUGAAGAGACAAUGAGAUGUUAUGAAGAGUUCUUCUUUCCUUUUUUCUCACUUAUAGUUAUGUGUAGAGCGUAUUCUUUACAGAACAUAAUUAUCCUGUACAAUUAACUCAUGUAGCGUAAACCUGUGAUGGAAGAGGGAGGGUCUGCUAUCUGUAAAAUACCUGGUGUGAUACUAUAUGUACGAAGAGAAUUAUAUUUUUAUAUAUCAGGAUUUUUAUACACUAUAUAAAAUGUGUUAGAGUCGUUAUAUCAUGUAGGGGGUAAUUUUUUUAAACCGUUUUAGACACCAGUCUUAAUACCCCUUUAGCUGGUGGUGGAUGCGCCGAAUUUAUGUAGAGGCGUCGACCUCUACAUGACUUCAGUGCAUCCACCGCCUGUCUAAAUCUACACAGGCUCCUUUGCUGGCAUAGAUUUAGACCAUUUUCUACACCUAAAACAGGCGUAGAAUCUAAUACAUGAGACUGGCCUGCCGGCCCACCGCCUUCCCUUCCAACAACACGCUCAUUUUUUUAGACCUGGUGUGAGUGAGGAAAAGUCGCAGAUUGCAGCGCAAAAAACCUUUGCAGCGCAAUCUGCAACAGAGGUACGCCAAAAAGUGGCGCAUAUCUGUUUGUAAAUGACCCCUUAAUAUUUCACUAAGGUAAUCCCUUUUCAUAUACCCUAUUAGGACACGUGGAUAUCAUAAAGAGUAGCCCCAAACUUAUACUGGAAAAAGCGUCAGCCUCUCUGGUGGCCGGGACCAUGGGAGUUCAUAUGGGCUAGUUUUUUUUCCCUAUAUUGUGCAAGCACGACCACCAUUGAUGGAUUGCAUAGUGGUCUGUAACCAU